AUGGAGGAGAGGGCGCGGCGGCGGGGCACCGGCACCAGCGCGAGCCCUGGCCGCAACAAGGUCUGGGUCGAGCCGCCGGGCAAGAGCCAGCACCACCCUCCGCGCCGCUCGCCCCCGCCCGCGGCCACGGCAGCGGGGAAGAGGGUAGCGGUCGUCUACUACCUCUGCCGCAGCCGCCACCUGGAGCAUCCCCACUUCAUCGAGGUGCCGCUCGCCUCGCCGGAGGCCGGCCUCUACCUGCGAGAUGUGAUUAACCGCCUUAACGUGCUGCGAGGGAAGGGCAUGGCGGCCAUGUACUCCUGGUCCUGCAAGAGGAGCUACAAAAACGGCUUCGUGUGGCACGACAUCUCCGAGGACGAUCUGGUGCUCCCUGCACAAGGCAACGAGUACAUCCUCAAGGGCUCCGAGCUCCUGGACCGAUCGCCGCCUGAUCGCCAGCAGAAUGGCCUUAGCAACACCAAGGCCGAGAGUCCCAAGCACCCUCAACAAGAGUCUCCUCAGUCGCGAGGAUCGCAAGAAGGGUGCUCGUCAUCGUCAUCCCCGUCUGCUGUUAUCAAAGAGGCCUCACCUCCAACUCCUACUCAGCAACCACAACAGCUGGCGCACUCCACAUUUGUGCUAUCAUCAUCUGCUUCCACCAACCGCGAGGACGAGCAAUGCAGGACUACACAUUCUGGCUCAUCCGGGAACCUGUCCCCUGAACCAGUAGGAACUAACGUUCCAUUAUCAGAGGCAACCUCCCCUGGACCUUCCGAGUACAGAGUCUGCAAACCCAUCGGAGCACAGGACGCGUCCACACAAACCGAUGACAGUGAGAGGGAUGUUCCUUCUAAACAUAAUCGCGCUGCAGGAAUCCGUACAGAGGAUUGUACAUCAGAUGCUGAAAUUCAAGAGUGUCAUGAAAGAAGCACGCAAGCAUCGCCAAAGGUCCCUCUACUUGUUCGAGAAUCACCACAGGUGUGUUCAUCUGAUGCUUCUCCCGGUGGCAGAGUUGAGACAUUGGAGUCCCUGAUAAGGGCAGAGGCCAGUAGGAGGAGUAGCUAUAAUAAGGUACUAGAGGAAGAAAAUCUCUAUGGACCAAUGGGUGUGAAGCUGAAGCCAGCCAAUUUGCUCAUGCAGCUGAUCACCUGUGGGUCCAUCUCUGUGAAAGAUCAUCGUGGCUUUGGACUCAUCCCAACAUACAGACCACGGUUUACUCAAGUUGAAUUCCCUUCUCCAAUGUUCUCUACUCCUAUGGCAUUGCGGCACCUUGACAAUGUUCCUUGUAGCGCAAGAACAAUUGGAAUAAGAGUUUCUGAGUCAGAGCAUUUAAGUAGUGAAAGCUUAGUCGAGGAGAGUAAGCAGGAAGAGUCAGGGAGAGGAGAAAUACCCACACUCAAACGCUCAUCAUCUUACGACGAGGAUAGAGUGUAUAGAGCGCCAGACUCUAGAAGGGAUAUGGAAAGCUUGGCUGAGUCGGGUAGUUUCAGAUGUCUCCCACAGACUAUCAAAAUGAUAUCAUGUAAGCAAUCCAGAAGUGGAACAGCAUUCUCCCCCAAUUCUGAUGUCAUGUACAGCUCUAGUCAACAAGAACGUAGUACUGGAUCCUCGCCACUUGGUUCAUCAAGAGGUGCAAGCAAUAGGAUGACUGACCCACUAGGUAAAUUAUCUUCAUCGAGGAGAGAGUCAUUCCAUGAGGAGAAGGACAAAAUGAUCAAGAUCGAAGAAAGGCUUGCUUCUGGAGCACGGGUUAUAAUCCAAUCUGCACCCUUGUGUGAAGAAAGUGAUAACAGCACAGAAUCACUGUAA
rnacentral:rRNA from 1 species